CACCCGGUCAGGCGGUCCUUCUGCGCCAGCGGCACCGCUCAGGCACCAGCCCUCGGGAUGCGACAGACCCGCUCCUGUACCUGCUCCUGUUAGCGCUUCAUCAGCUCCUGCGCUUGCUGGUGGGGCACUGACAUACCACCCACCGCUGUGCCGCCACCUUCUCCUCUUCCUCCUCCUCCGCAGGCGCACAGAGCGGCCAGGACCCUCUGUGAGGACUGCGUCUCACAGGGAUGCAGAGAGACUGAGAGAAGCAUGAAAAAUUCCACGUGGGAAAUCAACACAUCAUAUUUUGGGGGAAGUGACACAAAUGUAGAACACCUAAAAUAUUGCAUCUAGUUUCAAGUAAGAUGGAGUUGAAGCCAUGCGCUGUGCAUGGGAUCACUGGUGUCUCCACCGCGUGUACCCUUUUCCUUUCCGAGCUGUUCCUCCGGGUCUUCAUUUUGCACGAACUGUUGAGCAGUUAUCUUUAGGACAAUAUGUAAAACAGGUUGGCUCCGAGCCUCUCUGACAAAGCGAAAUAUUUUUAGUAGAUUAUUGUGUUUAAGGAUUUUUUUAUUUACUUUUUCUUUGGGGAGGGGGCUUUUCUUUUUUUUAUUAAAGUAAAUUAUUUCCUUUGAAACAUUUUGAUUAAACAAAUGACACAUCUUAUCAUAAUUGAAAUUCACUGUCAAUAAUAUUUAUUUUUAAAUAAAGAUUGGAAACAAGGUCAGACACUUGUUUAUAAACCGUAUUGUAUAUUGCUGAAUAACAGUUGAAUAAAAAACAACUUUGAAAUAA